CUAGGAAUUUUGCGCAAUGGGAGAAAUCCUGACGCAGCAACGCCGCGUGGGUGAGGAAGGCCUUCGGGUCGUAAAGCCCUUUUAGCAGGGAAGAAACAAGACGGUACCUGCAGAAAAAGCACCGGCUAACUCCGUGCCAGCAGCCGCGGUAAUACGGAGGGUGCAAGCGUUAUUCGGAAUCACUGGGCGUAAAGGGCGCGUAGGCUGUUUACUAAGUCCGAUGUGAAAGCCCCCGACUCAAUUGGGGAAGUGCAUUGGAUACUGGUAGACUAGAGUACAGGAGAGGAGAACGGAAUUCCCGGUGUAGAGGUGAAAUUCGUAGAUAUCGGGAGGAACAACAGAGGCGAAGGCGGUUCUCUGGACUGUUACUGACGCUGAGGCGCGAAAGCGUGGGGAGCAAACAGG
rnacentral:rRNA from 1 species